GGGUGCGAUCAUACCUGCACUAAUGCACCGGAUUCCAUCAGAACUCCGCAGUGAAGCAUGCUUGGGCGAGAGUAGUACUUGGAUGGGUGACCUCCUGGGAAGUCAUCGUGUUGCACCUC
rfam:Lupinus angustifolius cultivar Tanjil contig_4178, whole genome shotgun sequence.